AGAGUUUGAUCCUGGCUCAGAUUGAACGCUGGCGGCAGGCCUAACACAUGCAAGUCGAACGGUAACAGGAAGCAGCUUGCUGCUUCGCUGACGAGUGGCGGACGGGUGAGUAAUGUCUGGGAAACUGCCUGAUGGAGGGGGAUAACUACUGGAAACGGUAGCUAAUACCGCAUAACGUCGCAAGACCAAAGAGGGGGACCUUCGGGCCUCUUGCCAUCGGAUGUGCCCAGAUGGGAUUAGCUUGUUGGUGGGGUAACGGCUCACCAAGGCGACGAUCCCUAGCUGGUCUGAGAGGAUGACCAGCCACACUGGAACUGAGACACGGUCCAGACUCCUACGGGAGGCAGCAGUGGGGAAUAUUGCACAAUGGGCGCAAGCCUGAUGCAGCCAUGCCGCGUGUAUGAAGAAGGCCUUCGGGUUGUAAAGUACUUUCAGCGGGGAGGAAGGGAGUAAAGUUAAUACCUUUGCUCAUUGACGUUACCCGCAGAAGAAGCACCGGCUAACUCCGUGCCAGCAGCCGCGGUAAUACGGAGGGUGCAAGCGUUAAUCGGAAUUACUGGGCGUAAAGCGCACGCAGGCGGUUUGUUAAGUCAGAUGUGAAAUCCCCGGGCUCAACCUGGGAACUGCAUCUGAUACUGGCAAGCUUGAGUCUCGUAGAGGGGGGUAGAAUUCCAGGUGUAGCGGUGAAAUGCGUAGAGAUCUGGAGGAAUACCGGUGGCGAAGGCGGCCCCCUGGACGAAGACUGACGCUCAGGUGCGAAAGCGUGGGGAGCAAACAGGAUUAGAUACCCUGGUAGUCCACGCCGUAAACGAUGUCGAUUUGGAGGUUGUGCCCUUGAGGCGUGGCUUCCGGAGCUAACGCGUUAAGUCGACCGCCUGGGGAGUACGGCCGCAAGGUUAAAACUCAAAUGAAUUGACGGGGGCCCGCACAAGCGGUGGAGCAUGUGGUUUAAUUCGAUGCAACGCGAAGAACCUUACCUGGUCUUGACAUCCACGGAAGUUUUCAGAGAUGAGAAUGUGCCUUCGGGAACCGUGAGACAGGUGCUGCAUGGCUGUCGUCAGCUCGUGUUGUGAAAUGUUGGGUUAAGUCCCGCAACGAGCGCAACCCUUAUCCUUUGUUGCCAGCGGUCCGGCCGGGAACUCAAAGGAGACUGCCAGUGAUAAACUGGAGGAAGGUGGGGAUGACGUCAAGUCAUCAUGGCCCUUACGACCAGGGCUACACACGUGCUACAAUGGCGCAUACAAAGAGAAGCGACCUCGCGAGAGCAAGCGGACCUCAUAAAGUGCGUCGUAGUCCGGAUUGGAGUCUGCAACUCGACUCCAUGAAGUCGGAAUCGCUAGUAAUCGUGGAUCAGAAUGCCACGGUGAAUACGUUCCCGGGCCUUGCACUCACCGCCCGUCA
rnacentral:rRNA from 1 species